rnacentral:rRNA from 1 species
UGGGGAAUAUUGCACAAUGGGCGCAAGCCUGAUGCAGCCAUGCCGCGUGUGUGAAGAAGGCCUUCGGGUUGUAAAGCACUUUCAGCGAGGAGGAAGGUGGUGAGCUUAAUACGCUCAUCAAUUGACGUUACUCGCAGAAGAAGCACCGGCUAACUCCGUGCCAGCAGCCGCGGUAAUACGGAGGGUGCAAGCGUUAAUCGGAAUUACUGGGCGUAAAGCGCACGCAGGCGGUUCGUUAAGUCAGAUGUGAAAUCCCCGGGCUCAACCUGGGAACUGCAUUUGAAACUGGCAAGCUAGAGUCUCGUAGAGGGGGGUAGAAUUCCAGGUGUAGCGGUGAAAUGCGUAGAGAUCUGGAGGAAUACCGGUGGCGAAGGCGGCCCCCCUGGACGAAGACUGACGCUCAGGUGCGAAAGCGUGGGGCAGCAAACAGGAUUAGAUACCCUGGUAGUCCAGCGCUGUAAACGAUGUCGAUUUGGAGGUUGUGCCCCUUGAGGCGUGGCUUCCGGAGCUAACGCGUUAAA